GUACUUUAUAGAAAAUAUUACUGACGAAGCAAAAUUUUUCGCACGAUAAUCAUAAUUUUUUUGAAGUUGAAACAAUUAAGAGACGCGCUUUACCGUGCUAAAUUCAGAAAUUAAUAAAGCUUGAAAAUUAAUCAUUAAUUAUAUACUCUACUUUUAAAUAUUUGAACAAUAAUAUAUUUGUGAAUAUUUUAAUAACUUUAAAUUUAAAUAGCCUUGUGCUAUUGAAUAUAUUUUUAAUUAAAAAUAUUACGAAAAGAUAUCUUGGAAUAAUUACAAAUUAUUCGAUUUUUUAGAAUUACUGAUCAUCUGCACAUCACUUUAAUCGCUACUUUAAUUGCGGUUCUAAAUAAAUAAGUAACUUUAUCGAGUUUAUUACUAACGAAAGUGUAAAUUUUCGCGCGAUAAUUACGCGCAAUUUUAUCGAAGUCAAUAUUAAAGGCACAUUUUAUUUAAAAAAUUUUUUUAUGUUCAAAAAUUAAUAAAAAUUGAAAGCAAUUUAUCGUUAAUUAUAAUCAUCACACAUAUUUUUAAUAUUUUAAAUAUUAAUACAUUUUUAAUUAAAAUUACUGCGCCAGAAGAUAUUUAAUUAAUUGCGAUGUUAUAUUAGAUUUUAUAGAAUUACCGAUCAUCUACACGCCACUUUAAUCACUAUUUUAAUUGUGGGGGUAAAUAAAUAAGUAACUUCAUAGAAAAUAAUAUUGAUGAACAUUUUUGCGCGAUAAUUACGGGUAAUUUUAUCGAGAUUUAAACGAAAGGCGCACUUUAGUUUCAAAUAUUAAACUCAGAAAUUACUUAAUAAAAGUUGAAAGCAGCUUAUCGUUAAUUAUAUCCGUUGUAUUUUUAAUAUUCUAAAUCCAUAAAAUAUUUCUAAUUAAAAUUAUUGCGAGAAAGCAUUUCGGAUUAAUUACGACGUUAUAUUAGAUUUUAUAGAAUUUCCAAUCGUUCACACGUCAUUAGCUAUUAUGAAUUGUUUCUUCAGCGAUUCUCGCAAUUGGCAAACGCAUUUGUUUAUGUGCGACGGAAAGCCCGCCAUGUUUACUUUGCAUGACGUCACGCAAGCCAGUUAGCCAGUUCGAAAAACUGUCGCUUGUGCUUUUCAGUCUGUCGCGAGUAAAUCGUCUGGCAAAAUAUCGAAUCCUUCCGUCCUUCCCUCCCCUCUCCCUGGAACGGGACGCAUAAUGGAGUUAAUUAGUGCGCGCUAUCGUCACGACCGACCGUAUUGCUCGAUAUUCGCAAUUAUCCGCGCUAAUCGCGCGGCAUCACGCGCUGCAACCGUUCCGUUUACGGUAACAACAAAAAAGGAGAGACAAAUAAAACAGCAGAAACUCAACGGACCUCGACUUCGACGUCUUCGGUGAAAACUGGAUGUCUUUGGUAAAGUUAAAGAAACCUCGAUUGGACAAUGACAACAAUACGGUGCAUGGACUCUUUACAUCUUGCAAUUGUUUAUUGCUUUUAUGAUCGACUUAUAUCACAUUAUUUGUAAAUUGAAGUCCGUUAACUCCUACUUUAAAUAAUCUUAACGAGCUUAUUAAACUGUUUUAAAUAUAGACUUUUGUAUAUUUUUCCACCUACUUAACGUGUGUGUCUUCUUGUCGCAGCAAUUUUUUCUCUUUUGUUUUCUUGUUUUUGAAUCGUACACGUAUAUCUUUUUUUUAUGAUUUGUGCGAUCCCGAGUGGCCGAUCGCAACUCGAUCAACUGGCUGUGAUUUUUGGCCUUCCCUUUUUUAUCUCACUUAAAACGCGCAUUUUUCGCACUCGAGAACGAAAGUGUGUUUGGUUGAAACUGGAAAAUUAUAAAAAAUAUAAAAAUCGGGAAUGCGCCGUACUAUCUCUGGUAUCGUUCUCGCGCGUCACAUUGGGAAUUCUAUCGAUAAUUUUGUGUGUCACACGAUACGGCCAACAUUUUUAAGGAAACAGAUUUAUUCUUGGAAUUUCUGUAAAAUUAGAAGUUGUGUGUCUCAAACAUACCCAGAUUUCACCUGUGUGUGUAUAGUACGCUUUAAGUUAAAUGUAUAUUGAAAGCAAAGAGCAUUUUUGAUGUCACGAGAUAAAUCUCACUAAAAUCUUUACUGAACGAAAUAUCCGAAUUUUCUCUCUCUCUCUCUCUCUCUCUCUCUUUCUUUUUCUUUUGUAGUUAAUGCGAUAUUUUUUAUUGUUUAUUAUUAUUUAAAUUAGCUUAUCUAAUCGGUUUACCUCGAGUAUUGUGAUUGUUUAUUCUCUUUAUCGCGUUAUAAUUGCACGACAGGUUGUAUUAUUCGGAAUUGAAAUUCGUUGACUCGCGCUUUUCCAAAUAAGCUUAACGAGCUUAAUAUUAGCUGUCCCCAAAUAUAGACUUUUAUAUACAUUUUCACCAUAUUACCUUUGGAGCCUUAAAUAUUUACGAUACAGAAUGAAA